GGAGAGCUGCAGGGUGCGAUCGGCCAUAGCAAUCCCUGGGGCCAAUAAGGACCUCUAGGGAGCUGUCCCUGCCGGGACCGUGGUCUCGGUAAACGGCGCCCACCUGCUUUAGCAGGCCACAGAGGAUCUCUGAGCCACCGGCCCAGGCGGCGCCGCC
rnacentral:other from 1 species